rnacentral:rRNA from 1 species
ACGUACGCUGGCGGCACGCCUAACACAUGCAAGUCGAACGAAGUAGCAAUACUUAGUGGCAGACGGGUGAGUAACAUGUGGGUAUCUGCCCUUUGGCCUGGAAUAACACGAGGAAACUUGUGCUAAUACCGGAUAAGUCUUUACGGAGAAAGCUUUAUGCACCAUUGGAUGAGCCUGCACUUGAUUAGUUUGUUGGUGGGGUAAUGGCCUACCAAGACUGUGAUCAAUAGCUGAUUUGAGAGGAUGAUCAGCCACAUUGGGACUGAGACACGGCCCAAACUCCUACGGGAGGCAGCAGUGGGGAAUCUUGCACAAUGGAGGAAACUCUGAUGCAGCGAUGCCGCGUGAGUGAAGAAGGCCCUUGGGUUGUAAAGCUCUUUCGUCGGGGAAGAAAAUGACUGUACCCGAAUAAGAAGGUCCGGCUAACUUCGUGCCAGCAGCCGCGGUAAUACGAAGGGACCUAGCGUAGUUCGGAAUUACUGGGCUUAAAGAGUUCGUAGGUGGUUGAAAAAGUUAGUGGUGAAAUCCCAGAGCUUAACUCUGGAACUGCCAUUAAAACUUUUCAGCUAGAGUAUGAUAGAGGAAAGCAGAAUUUCUAGUGUAGAGGUGAAAUUCGUAGAUAUUAGAAAGAAUACCAAUUGCGAAGGCAGCUUUCUGGAUCAUUACUGA